rnacentral:lncRNA from 1 species
CCCCGAUUUGGACCAACUUGAAAACUGGGCCAAUAAUAAAAAAUCUAAGUACAUUUUUAGAUUCAGUAUAUCAAAGAACCCCAAGGAUUCAAUUUUUGUUAAAAUCAAACUAAGUUUAAUUUUGCACCCUUUGGACCUUAAUGUAGACCAAUUUGAAAACAGGACCAAAAAUUAAGAAUCUACAUACACAGUUAGAUUCGGAAUAUCAAAGAACCCCAAUUGUUCAAUUUUUGAUGAAAUCAAACAAAGUUCAAUUUUGGACCCUUUGAGCCCCUUAUUCCUAAACUGUUGGGACCAAAACUCCCAAAAUCAAACCCAACCUUCCUUAAGUGGUUAUAAACCUUGUGUUUAAAUUUCAUAUAUUUCUAUUUACUUAUACUAAAGUUAUGGUGCGAAAACCCAAGAAUAAUGCUUACUUGGGCCCCUUUUUGGCCCCUAAUUCCUAAACUGUUCAGACCUCAACUCCCAAAAUCAAUCCCAACCUUCCUUUUGUGGUCAUAAACCUUGUGUCAAAAUUUCAUAGAUUUUUAUUUACUUAAAUUAAAGUUAUAGUGCGAAAACCAAGAACAUGCUUAUUUUGGCCCUUUUUGGCCCCUAAUUCCUAAAAUGUUGGGACCAAAACUCCCAAAAUCAAUCCCAACCUUACUUUUGUGGUCAUAAACCUUGUGUUAAAAUUUCAUAGAUUUCUAUUCACUUUUACUAAAGUUACAGUGCGAAAACUAAAAGUAUUUGGACGACGACGACGCAGACUACGACGCCAACAUCAUACCAAUAUACGACCAAAAAAAUUUUAAUUUUUGCGGUCGUAUCAAAAUUACCACAUUAUAGAUAUUCAUGUCUACACCGAAGUGUUGACUACUGGGCUGGUGAUACCCUCGGGGACGAAACGUCCCCCCAGCAGUGGCAUCGACCCAGUGGUGUAAAUAGUUAACCUAUAGAGCAGUCGAAAGGACUGCUUUAAGUUAACUUGUGAACAGGUUAGACUGCAUCCAUCUAUAGAGCUUACAUUUCUAUUAAUUCAUCCAUGGAUUACAAACCUCAUAUUCUUACUAAUAUUAUCCGGUGAUUUCAAUCAAAAUGGUACUUUAUAUUCUUUUAUCUAUUUGUAAUCCCCCCAAAUAAAAAAAAACCAGGAAACUUGACAAAACACAAGGAAAUUGAUUGUUUAUUUUAAAUGCUUUGUAUUCUUGACUUGCUGCCUCAAUAAUCUUUAUCUCCCCAUCUUCCUCUGUUCACAUUUAAAUAAAUUUACAAUUUUCUUCAUCAGCUUGUUUCAAUUUAGACCCAAAUAUUACCUGGCAUAUCUAAAAAUAAAAAAAAACAAUAUUUCACAAACUCCAAAACAAAAAGAUUUUAUUUUUCUCACAAAUUACAUUUAACAAUUGUGUAUAGUAUGAUGGUAAUACAUGUUUACUCUAUACAAGGUCAAAUAAAUACAUUCCAUAAUGACCUUGACCAGGACACAAUAACCUUGAAUACAGUUGUCAAGGUCAUUCACUUAUCUUGACCAUUUGAAGUCAAAAUGUAUUUCUAUAUAUAUGUUUAUAUAUAUAUAUUAUAUGAUAUAUACAAAUGAGCAAUCAAUUGAAGCACAAAUGAAUUUGGCUUUUAUGGCACAAAUUAAAUCUAAAACUUAGGGAUAAACUAAAACUUGAGUAAAACAAAUGUAGUAGCUUUUUGUUAAAAAAAAAAAAAAAAACAUACAUUGAAGUUGAUUAUAUCUGAUUCUAAUUGAGAAUCAAAAAUAUAUAUACAGUAGUAUCUGUGUAUAAAUAUUUAUCUUUUGUGCGACUAUCAGAAUCCUUUGAAUAAAAGGUAUGGCCAAUAACCCCUUAUUUUUUUUACACCAGGGUCUCCCAAAAUUGUUUUCAAUCUUUAUUCAAAUUUACAGUAUCACAGAUUUAUGUGUUUACUUACAAAGUAUGAUAAAUAUUAUACAGUUUUCAUAUUUCUGAACAUUACCAAUUUUCACUGCCUUAAUGACUAAAAAAAAUUGAUAAAGUGAUACUGCUUUGGUCAAAACAAAAACCUAAAAAGAUAGAAAGAAAUUUAUUGUCUUUCAAAUAUUAAAGUUUUAAAAACUUGGAAAAACAAUUUUCCUCAUAAAAUUAAAUCCAGAAACAUCCAGGGUUUUUUUUUGUGGUUUAAAUUGCAUCCAAAUUGUUUAGUGUUCAAUAACAUUUUUAUGGUUAUUGGCAAAUUAGGAAAUCUUUCAACGUAUGUUAUUGACACUAAAAUUCCAAGUAACUCUAGGUACUAUGAACUUUCUGAUUCUGAACCAACCAUUGAAAUAAAUACAGGGGAAAUUGGCCAUACCACUUCAAUAUUUCAUUACAUGUUACAUAUACAUAUAUUUCUAUUCUAAUCUAUUCUUAAUCUGUAUCAUCCACAAAAUGUAUCCCCAUUUGAUUAAAAAAUACAUGUUUUAGUUGCAGAUUGUAUUUUGAUAUCUAGAAGUCUUGAGUUAUCUCAUAGGCGUGUACUACAACCAGUUUAUGCAUAUCUAAUAUAUAUCUUUCCUUUUGUAAAAUUUUAUCUUUACAUUAGGAUUUAUAGUGAUCUAAAUUCAUUUUGAAAAUCUUUAUUAUGCAAUAAAGGAAAAUGAUAUAAGAUUAAUUGAAAAUUGUAUGUGUUUUAACUUUGCAAAUAUGUUUUGAAAAAAGAUAUUUGAAAGUGUACUCAUAUUUUUCUUUUUUGAACAAAUUUUAAACAACUAAUCAGUCAUUACAUUAGCUAAGUGAAAGUGUUAGUACUUAAAUUAGUCUACAAAAAAAUGAUAUCAAUACCAAUGCAACAUGAGGUGACGAUUUAUCUACAAUGAUGACUAUAAUAUAUAUUGAAGAGGCACACACUGUUGGCUAUCUGUUUUUUCUGAGGGCUAAUACAUUACAAUAAAUAGGAGAGGAUAGGAAGGGACUUCAAACAAAAACCCUUGUGAUCUUGCCAACAUCAGAUGGACUCACAACCACAUAAGACCCAUGCCCUGUUUCUAAAAAUAGGAUUUCCAUUACUAUCCAUCCACAUUCAUUUUUAAUAGACUGUUUCCUAUGAAAAUUCACAUUCAAGUUGAAAUCUAAUAGCUUAUUUCUAAGUUCGCAUCAUCAUUUUAUAACAAGUAAUUGCAAAUGAAAAUUAAACAAUAUAUUCAAAUCACUAAAUAACUUGACAAUUUAAUACAAAUUGUAGUGUUCUCAUGAGGUUGUUUCCCUUUAGUUAUAUUGACUGCAAUUUUAAAUUGUGAGACCCUCAUUAUAUACAAUAUUAUAUAAACCUUUAUUAGAAAACCCAGUGGCACAUUGUCAUCAAAUUUACAUUUCUGUGACGAAACAGACAAGAAAAAAUUGUCAAAGUUCAAUUGUGUAUCCAUGACAUAUUGGUAAUUAUGCAAUUUCUUAUUUUUUUUUACAGAAAUAAAAUAUAUAUUUGUGAACAAUGUUUUUAUAUAAAGGCUAGUAAAUAUUUAAAGUAAGCAUACCAAAAAUACCACUUUUUGUUAAAUAGACUUUGUUUAACCCUUUCCUCUAUGUACCAUAAGUGUGUUACAGGUGUUAUGAAUGUUUUUCAUACUUUUUUGUUAGAAAUGGGAAAAUGAAUCUUGUAACCUAAUGAGAUCAUGUAAAGGGCAUACGAUACAGUUACAGGGGAGGUAAUGACGUUGCUAACGUAAAAUGUUAUUUUCGCGACGUCAAACUAUGACAUAUCGGAAAAGAUGCAUUUUUCGACUAUUUUUUAUCAUUCAAACUGAUUUAAUUUGAAAACGAGUGCAUGGACCAAUAUUUUUUAAAACAACAUUUUGUUUCAUUUUGUAGGGAGAUUAUGUGGACCAAAUUUUAUAAAACUGUAAAUAGAGGAAUUUUUUUAAUUUUGAUAAAUAUACAGCAAAAAAAUACGAUUUGUUCUUAAUUCAUGACCAUUUGAUAAAUAUGAGUUAUUUCUGAAUAAAAAAUGCAUAAUUUUUUAGGAUACUUAUAAAAAACAAAAAUUACAAAUUAUCUAACAAAAAACAAUUUGUGUUUAUCUUUUAAAACAAAAAAGUUAUGUUUUUCUUUCGAAAGAGAAAAUACGGCCACAAAUCCGAAUUUUGAGCAAAUAUACAAAAUUUCGACCUCAUUUAACUCAAAAAGUAGCACAUGAAGGUAUAUUUUUUAUUACAUAUUUGAUUUAAGCAGGCAAAAACUAGCCUAUAUGGAAAUUUUCACCAAACUGUAAAUACAGGAUCAAAACUGUAUCGUAUGCCCUUAAAGGGAGAAUUAGAACACCUAAUGGAAACAAAUUAGUUAAUACUACAAUAUAUAUUUUAUGAUGUAUUCCUUCUUCUAGUUAAGACAAUUAAAAUAAACAAUAAAAUGUCUUUAUCACAUAUAUACGAACAAUAAAAUAAAGGAACUUUGUGAUUACACCGGGCUUUGGUAUCCUAUUGUUACAGGAAAUUCAUACAAGAAUUAGAAGUAAUCUUGAAAUUUGUUCAAUUUUAACUUAUACCUUAAAAUACAAUUACUACAUCAGCCAUUUUAAUUUUUUUUUAAAUAAUAUGCUGAAAAAAAUUAUUUAUUCAAAUUAGUUGAAAAUUGUGCUUUUUUAAUUAACUUCUUAUUUUAUACUGUUGAUAAAAUCCUCUGUACAUUUUUCUAAAAAAUGAACUUUACUUUCAAAAAUUCAAGUUUUUUUUUAUAUCGCUGACAUUUAAAAAGGCUUUACAAAUAUAAAAAAAACUUUGUUUUUGAAAUUAUAAAUAAAUGUUUAGUAGUAUUCAAAAUAGAUGGCCUACUUUCAUGACUUUCAGAACAUACCAAUUUUUUUCCCCAUUUAUAAUAUAAAUCUAAAUAAGAAAUUCAUUAACUUCAGUGAUAAGAAUGCAAGUAAUAAAUGUAAAAGAUGAAUAUAUAUAUAUGUAUGUAUGUAUGAAAAUAUGUUUCAGCAAUCGUUAUUGGAAAUCUCCUGAGAGGGGUACCUGAUUAACUUUAAUAAAGCUUAAACUUGAAAAAAAACAUUUGAUUUUACAAUAAUGAUAAUAGACCUCAUUAAAGCUGCACCAAAUCAUGCAGAACUUAUUUUUAAAACAUAACUGGGAUCUUAUCAUGCUAAAUAUAAUGCAACAUUAUUCAAAUAAUUUAGAAAUUUACAUGCAUUUUCAACUUCAUAAAAUUCAUUGACUGGUCUUUUCUUUUAAAUCUAAUAUUAGAUAGUUAUUUGUGGUAUUCCAAAUCUCAUUUUACAGAUUGAGAGAGAGAGAGAGAGAGAGAGAGAGAGAUAUGUUAAUCAGGGAUGUUUUAUAUUCUAUAAUCUUAAAACUUGUUUUCAUUUAAAUCCACUUAUUUUAUCCUGAAAUUAGUUUUUCUUUUACCAACCGUAAAGUUGAUCUUUUAAAUAUUUUUAAAAUGGCAUCUUACUUUUGUUAAUACAACUUCUUGCUUUAAAUUAUAAAUUUUCUGUAAGAAAUUGAAAUCAAAUCUUUUAAAACCUCUUACUAGUUUUUUUUUUCUCUGCCUUAUAUUUGAUUAACAGAAUUAAAAACAUUACCUAGAUAGCUUAAAUUUAGUUUUCAUGAUUUCAAUAAAUCAAAUUUUUACAUUAAUUCUUAAAACUUCAAUAAUUUCAGUAUACAUGUAUACAUUACGUCCAGUUAAUCAUAUAUGUUUGACCAAAACUGGAUCCUAGCUGCCAACAAAAAAUGGCCUCUCACAUUUUUCCUUCCCACAAUCCCUUUCUAGCUGACAUGAAAUUGCUAUUUACAAUUGUGUUAUAUACUUUAAUUCUAUUUUACACUCCAAUAAUUAUAUAUUUUGUAUAUACUCAUAACAUUUAAUUUAUCUAAUAUUUUCUUCAAAAAUAUUUAAAUAUCACAGAAAUAGUUCAGAUUAAAAGAACACCAUGCCUCUAUAAUGUAUAAUGAAUAAGUUUAAAAGAGUAAAAGUAAAGCAAAGGAAAUCUGUGCAAGUAUAUUAAGAACUCAAUUUUUAAAAACUCUGCAUUAAAACCUUUAUAACAUAGUAUCCCUCUUUCAAUAAAAAAGAAGGAAAAAAAAGAAAAUAUGCGUUUAGAAAAAUAACAAGCAAGUUCUUUGUGUACCUAUGGUGAUGUCAUAUCCUGAAACUAACUAGAAGGGUCAGGAUGGGGUGUAAAGAAUAGAGAGUAUAGAAUUACUGUUAAAAUUUGGUAAUUAAGAUAAUGAACAACGAUUAAUACAGAAAUGUACAGAAUUAAGAAACCAUGUAAUAACAAACAAAUAUAAUAGUUAAAUGAUGCUCUUGAGAAUUUUAGAAAAUAAGCAUUGAUUUUAAAGAUAAAGAAAAAGUUAUAAAAAAAAAAAAUAACAAGAAUACAGAAAUGAAGGACACCCCAUCCAGACCCUCAUUAAGGACUCAUGGCCUACUGAGUUAUAACCUAAUGAUGUUGGAACACAUUUGAACAUAUAACAAGCAUAAACUGCAACAUAUAACAAGCACUAAUACAAAGUUAAAAAAAAAACAGUUCUUUCAGCACUUUUCUCACCACAAUGUUUUAACCUUUUUUUACCUAUAUACAUUUACAGCAUUCAUGCACAAAAAAACAAACAUUGCACUAACAAUUCAAACUUUUUUAUAAACAAAUACACUUGUUAUUCAACACACUAAUUUCAUCAUUAGUACACAGCAACAUUAUUUCAUGUUAUUAUAUUACAUUUAUAUUUCUAUAUAAAUCUGUAUAUUUAGGUAAAACAUUCUUUAACAACUGAUUGAUGUAACACAUAACAGUUUGAUCAUUCUUAUGUGAAUUGUAAAAUUGUCGUUUUAACAUAAAACUGCUAUAACUGUAAAAAAAAAU